rnacentral:rRNA from 1 species
CCUACGGGUGGCAGCAGUAGGGAAUCUUCCACAAUGGGCGAAAGCCUGAUGGAGCAACGCCGCGUGGGUGAAGAAGGUCUUCGGAUCGUAAAACUCUGUUGUUAGAGAAGAAAGUGCGUGAGAGUAACUGUUCACGUUUCGACGGUAUCUAACCAGAAAGCCACGGCUAACUACGUGCCAGCAGCCGCGGUAAUACGUAGGUGGCAAGCGUUAUCCGGAUUUAUUGGGCGUAAAGGGAACGCAGGCGGUCUUUUAAGUCUGAUGUGAAAGCCUUCGGCUUAACCGGAGUAGUGCAUUGGAAACUGGGAGACUUGAGUGCAGAAGAGGAGAGUAGAAUUCCAUGUGUAGCGGUGAAAUGCGUAGAUAUAUGGAAGAACACCAGUGGCGAAAGCGGCUAUCUGGUCUGUAACUGACGCUGAGGUUCGAAAGCGUGGGUAGCAAACAGGAUUAGAUACCCGGGUAGUC